UACGAAGGGGGCUAGCGUUGUUCGGAAUUACUGGGCGUAAAGCGCGUGUAGGCGGGCCGUUAAGUUGGGGGUGAAAGCCCAGAGCUCAACUCUGGAAUUGCCUUCGAUACUGGCGGCCUGGAGCAUGAUAGAGGCGAGUGGAAUUGCGAGUGUAGAGGUGAAAUUCGUAGAUAUUCGCAGGAACACCAGUGGCGAAGGCGACUCGCUGGAUCAUUGCUGACGCUGAGACGAGAAAGCGUGGGGAGCAAACAGG
rnacentral:rRNA from 1 species